ACCUGAACUGAGCUGGGGCAGCAGGUCACAGCUGUGACUCAGCACUGGCAGCCCAUAAUACCGAAGUGCUGCCAAGCAAGUGGGUCAUGCCAGGCCAAAGAAGACUGUGGCCCAGGGGUAGGGCUGGCUGCCUCUGGCUCUGCCUCAAGCUGUCCUGGCUCCGUGCAAGGCGUCCUCUCCCAGGGCUGCGUCCACCGAUGUCCCCCGUGUGUGCAGGGUUGGGGGCAGAUGGAGAGGGCCUGGACCUUCACUUGCAGGGAGAAUUUGCUACUCUCGCAUUGCAGCUGGGACGUGAUGAGCUGGGGGUCCCUGGCCAGGGAUGGAGUGAGGGACGAUUGAUCGGGACGAUCUGCUUGGGAGCAACAGGGAGGGCAGCGCUCCCUCCCUCCGUGGAGACCCCUCUUGAAGCAGGAACCCCCUCCCCACCCUCUAGAGUGGCAAGCCUCUUGGGGGUUCCCCGAAGCGUCCAAGAGACCGCCGGCUGUAAGGUUACCCGGCCGAGGUUAGAAGAGACGUUCCAGGGCUCCACCCCUCGCCGGAGGCCGAAUCGCCGGGAGGGCCCAGGAAUCUGUUUUGGUUGGGAUUUCUCUGGAAUUAGGAAGAGAUUUUUCCGCACUACGUUUGAAGACAGCUGUGCUGCCUCCUUUGAGGAACCUUACUCCAGAGACCUGUUUGCUUUGUUCAACCUCCGAAUCCAACAGACCCACUUGAUUGGGCCCAAUGAUGAGGGAAUCGAAUCAAGUCACAUGCUUGUCAAUGAAUGUGGUUCCUUUCGGUAA
rnacentral:lncRNA from 1 species